AUUUCUGCUCUAUACCUACAUAAAACUAACGAGGCAGAUAAAAUGCUUGAAGAGAAAUAUUCCCCAUACUUAUAAAAGAACACUUGAUUUUGGGAAAUAGUUAUUCCUAAUUAUUAUAUGGCAUCAAUGCAAUGCUAAACACAAUUCCAAAAGGAGUUCAAAGUUUGGAGAAAAUUGGACAAAAUUUUCUGUGGUUCACUGGAAAGAACAAUUAUUGCAAUGUAAGAUGAGAAAUGAACACUGACAAAGAAUUCGGUGCCUCAAAAGUUAAAAAUCUAAAUGAUAUGACUGUCCACGUGACAGAAUUGAGAGACAUUGGAGAUUAUUAAAGCAUACUUUGAAGUAUAUCAGUAAGGGUUUUAAUGGAGAUGAUUAGAUCUUGGGGGAAUCUGACCUAAUCAAUGGCUUAAUCCAUUUAUGGUUUCAAAAUCUGAAUAAAUUGUUGGGACUGUGAAAGAUGGGCCCAAGUUGGAAGCAGUAGGUCAUUUGGGAAAUGCCUUGAAAAGCACCAUACCACAUAU